rnacentral:lncRNA from 1 species
CAAAGAGACGAAUUUUGGUCCCUAAGAGACCUCAUGAUGCAUAUGCAUGUAUGCAAAAAGGUAAUACUCUGUGGGGAUUUGUGUCCACAACGAAGAAAAGAAAUUCGGAGAAACUGACAAUCCAUAUGAGUAAUUCACUCCAUGGGACAGAGACUCUGGGACUUUUAUGGGGAUAGAAAAGGGAAUAAAUUGCGUGAGCAUGUCAC